rnacentral:lncRNA from 1 species
GAAGUUUGUUGGAUAUGUGCCCUAUAAGCCAAUCUUGACUGACACAUACUUUUCUCCAGUGCAUAUUUUGUACUUAUUGGACAGUUUUAAUAACCAAUCAUGUUUAUGUGUCCAUGAUUUAUCCUAAAAAUUAACAAAAAUAAUUUUAUAUAUUCUCAAGAUGUUGAGAAUUUGAGACAUACAUCAUUAGUGGUUAAUUUUUAAAUGCUCCCGAUCGAAGGAUCGUCACAGAGGACAGUGAUUAAUCCAUUCG